UACGUAGGGUGCAAGCGUUGUCCGGAAUUAUUGGGCGUAAAGAGCUCGUAGGCGGUUUGUCACGUCGGAUGUGAAACCCUGAGGCUCAACCUCAGGCCUGCAUUCGAUACGGGCAGACUAGAAUUCGGCAGGGGAGACUGGAAUUCCAGGUGUAGCGGUGAAAUGCGUAGAUAUCUGGAGGAACACCGGUGGCGAAGGCGGCAUCCUGGACCAAUUCUGACACUGAGGAGCGAAAGCCAGGGAGCAAACGGG
rnacentral:rRNA from 1 species